rnacentral:misc_RNA from 1 species
UUCUUCUCUAUCUUAUAUAAUAUUAUAUUUUCUCCUAAAUCAAUUUUUUCACUACCAACAACAACAACAAUAAUAACAACUCAACUAUUCUCAACUCGCGUCAACCUUAACUUAACUUUCUCAAAAAAACAACAAACUACAACUCUACCACUACCAAUCUGUCAACUUUCCGUUUUUAAACUGAAACUGCAAAACCAAAACAUUUAUUUUCCUCUCGACGGCCAUUGACAAAGUUUUGUUUUUCAAAAAAAAAAAACCCGAGAAGGAGAAAAUUGCCAAGCCAAAGUGGUGAAAGGAUAACCCAAAGAUUCGUUCAAAAAUCGUAUUCCCCCCCGUUAUGUUUUGAGUCCAAUACCGUGUUGAAAACAAACGUAAACGUAAACGCGAAUGUAAAUGUAAAAAUCGAUAAGCCACACGCAGCCAGCCAACUGAACGCGAGCGUGUCCGUGUGUGUUUUGUGGAGCGAAGGGGAUUGAACGGGGGGAACUGACCAAAAAUCGGUGGCCCUGGCCAAAAACGCAAAAACUCCGGCCCAACAAAAAAAAAUACAAGAAAAGCAAAGCACAGCAAAGCAAAGCAGAGCAAAGCAAAGCAAAGCACAGCAAAGCAAAGCAGAGCAGAGAGAGCGACUCGAAACUCCAGCCCAAAUGACGGAUACGGGUCUGACAACGAAUCAAGCGCCGAAAUGUGUGAAGUGGCUGUGAAACCCGAGGAAUCCUAACUAAAAACCAAACCAAUUUACAAUAAAAUGCAAAUUACUAAGAAUAUUUAACCACACCACUCCACACACAACAACAACAACACACACACAGGGACACACGAAACACAGCAGAAAUGCCAGGCCUGAAACUCAACAAGCUGUACGACUAAAACUUUAAGAGAUCUUUCGGCGAGCCAAACUCUAUAUACAAUAUAUACAAAAUAUAUAUAUAUAUAUAAAAUUAUAUAUAUUUUCACAUGCGAGAUAACAACAGCAACGUUUCCUUUCCGCUUUUGCCACAAAUAAUACCCCCUGAGACGGUCUUUGCUCGCUCGAAACUCGACACUAGCUUCAGCACUUAGCCCUCUAAGAUCUACCAACUGGAUCCUAAUCAAGCUCCUAGCCAAAAACAACUCCAACUCCAAAACCUCUAAUCUACCAAGAACUUAAUCCCGAAAAUGCCGCGCUGCCUGAUAGCCAAGAAGUGGAAGGCCUAUCCCUGGCUGGAUCGUACGGAGGAUGUUAGCAACCAGCAGCAGCAACAUCAGCAGCAGAGUGCUCCCAGCUCGCCUCGAGAGCUGGAGGAGCUGCAUCUGAAGUCCAGACGCUCCACCCUGGACGACGAUGAGGAGAUCGAUGUGGUGGGCGAUAAAUUCCUGAUCAAGUUGGAGAAGCAACGCACAACAGCAGAUGCUGCAGCAGCAGCCGCAGCAACAGCAGCAACAUCAUCCGAAGCAGCAACAUCGCACAGUAGCAGUAACAACAACAUGGAGCCUUCGACGACGACGACGACGACGACAUCCAAGUGCUGGGGACCCAGUUCACCCACGGCGGGCACCACGGCUCCAAGUCCGCCACCCCAUUCGCCGGAGGCGGCGACGCGAGUGGCCGGCAAUGUUUACAACGGCUACACCCGCGAACUGUCGCCGCUGCACUACACCGCGUACCUGCCCCGCAUGGAGAGCGAGAUAACCGUGAUCCGUGCCGCGGCCACAGCUCUGGUGGCAGCCAGGACAUCCGGCAACGGAAGUGGAGAUCAGCACCUGGCCGCCUACCAAACGCCGCCCUCGUCCACAACGUCAUCACCCUCUUGUUCGCCCAGCGGUGCCGGCGAUCGGUACAGUCCGCUCUCGAGUGGACAAACCUCCAGCGAACGGAAGUGUUUCAGCAGUACGGGUGCCACACUGUCGCUGCCGCCAAAGAAGAAGGACAUCUACAGGCCGUACUCCCUGGACGACAAGCCGGCGCAUGGCUAUAGAAGAAGGGUUCCGGCGGAGGAGGACCUGCAUGCGGCACAUGCUAUCCUGGAUCUGAGUGCCAGCACAGCCUUCCACCCGCCCACGCAGCCACACCAGCUGCAGCAACAGCAGCAGCAGCAUCACCAUUCCCAGCAGCAACACCUUGGCCCGCAGCAACAUCACUACUUGCCACUGCAGCAGCAGCAGCAACAGCAGCAGCAGCAGGCACACCACACCCACUUGCCAACUCUCGAGACGCAUGCGCAUCUGCGCAGCACGUCAUCGAUUGCCGAACUGGCUGCAGCGGCCAGUGUGGUAAAUGAGCAACGCCCCGCCAGCAAUGCCUCGAGUGCCAGCAGCAAUCACAUGCCCAGCAGUCCCAGCAGCAACUCGAGCAGCAGCAGCAGCAGCAGCCAGGUGCAGAACGAGAACAGCAACACCACCAACACGAACCCGGAUGGGGAUGGAUGCCUGCAGGAUGGCGAGCACAGUGCCGCCUCCGGUGCCUCGGCCAAAACAGUGGCGUACACCUACGAGGCCUUCUUUGUCAGCGAUGGCCGCUCGAAGCGCAAACAUGUGGCGGAUCCCGCAGCUGUCGCCGCCGGUGUGCCCACUCCUGACCAGCAGAAGACCAAGUACACCUGCUCCGAGUGCGGCAAGCAGUAUGCCACCUCCUCGAAUCUGUCGCGCCACAAGCAAACGCAUCGCUCGUUGGACUCGCAGUCCGCCAAGAAGUGUCACACCUGUGGCAAGGCCUACGUCUCCAUGCCCGCCCUGGCGAUGCACUUGCUCACGCACAAACUCUCGCACAGUUGUGGCGUUUGUGGCAAGCUCUUCUCGAGACCGUGGCUGCUCCAGGGUCACCUGAGAUCCCACACGGGCGAGAAGCCCUAUGGAUGUGCGCACUGCGGCAAAGCCUUUGCCGAUCGUUCCAAUCUGCGAGCACACAUGCAAACCCAUUCGGUGGACAAGAACUUCGAGUGCAAGCGGUGCCACAAGACCUUCGCCCUGAAGUCAUACCUCAACAAGCACUUGGAGUCGGCUUGCCUGAAGGACGAGGAGGAGCUGAUGAUGUCCAUGUCGCUCUCGAUGCACGACAGCAACAGUGAGAGUGGGGCCAGUAUGGCCUCAUCGCCGCCACACGAGUUCCUGGAGCGCGUCAAACUCGAGGGCAGCGGAGGAGCCACUUAUGCCAUGUAAGCAUCAAACACAUUGGGCGCUACACAAAAAUCAAGUCGUGAUCCGGCUCGUUGGACCAGACUUGGGGAUUUCUGUUGCAACGCCGAUGAACAAAGAGGAAGGAGGAUGUGCUGUAACUGCAUAGCUGUUGACGUGACAUGACGGCGACGAUGACGACGAAGUGAUUAAAAUUAAUGCAACGAAUACAAAAGCAAAUGCAAUGUUUCUCAAACAACGAAUUAGGACUUAAGGGCAGCCUAUCUAUAAGCAGUAAUUACGAGUGCUAGCCACUAAGCAAUUUUAAACUAAGUCACACGAAAGCGACAUCUAAGCACUCAACUCAAUUUUUAGAUUCGAUAUAUAUUGACAACGAUACAAAUUAAUCAAAAGCAAGCAACAAAAACGAAACGCAAAGCAAUAUUUAGUCGGGUUUUGCGAACCGGUUCAAAGUGGGAGCGGUUCCAUAGCGAAUGUUAACAAACUGAAAACAACAAGGACCAACUCAAACUCCCCGAGAACUGGUUGUGUAAGCCUCAUAUUAACCCUUGUAGAAAGCAUCACGAUCACGUUUAUACAUAUAGGUCAGUCCCCCCCCCAAAAAAAAAUAAGUUCACUCCGUUAUCAUUAAAGGCUAGAAGAGCAUUGCAAAGAAGUCACAGAGGGCGGUUCGAAACCCCUUUUCUUUCGUUGGGCGCCGUAAUUCCGCAGUCAAAAAGCACUACUCACCAGUGAAAUAGCCUAUGAUUAUUUAUGUUAGUCCUUAGAAGUGAACAUCUAGUCGCUGUUUAACAGCAAAAUCACUUAUUUCAUACCAAAGCUAUACCCUAGACCCUAUAACCAGUUUUUAGUAUCAACAAGCAUUGCAUUCAGUUCGAGGCCCAAUUAGGAGUGAAACCAGCGAAUAAGACCAAAGAAAUCCGGGAAAGCCCCAGUAUUCGAUCGCAUAGAGAGAGCCCCUCAAUCGCAGAACAGAACGGAAUAUAUCGAGUGUGAUCUAGUCUCAAGCAUUUAACAGUACACUUCGUCCAUGCGUGAAUAAUACUUUUGCACUUUUUCGACACUUAACCGACCUAGUACGAUAUUACUUAGCCCUAUAUUAUGUAACUGUAACUCAUAUUCAUUCAUUCACUCAUUCAUUGAAUCGUUUACGCAUUCAUCUUCAUACUCACACAAGCUCACACACUCAAAACACUCAAUCGCUGCACAGCCUGUAUAUAUUAGGAUAUAGCAUAUACAUACAUCACACAUCAGCAUUAUACUAUAAUCAUCUGAAUCAACUAAAAUCAGCUUCAGCAACCGAUCUCAAAGAGGAAGUGGGGGAAAGAAGUGCAACGAACAUUUUGUAGCGCUAGUCGUAGCCAAGUUUAGAUGACCCAAAACCAAAGUUGUUGGUAUUUCUAAGCGGGUAUCUUGGGAAUAUAUAGAAGAUAUACUAUAUACAUCUAGAAUACGUAUGUAGUUGCGUAAUAUUUACAAAGCAUAUAUUAUACACAGCUAGGUUUAGUCUUCAGACAUGUACUCGUAAGUUAAACUAGUAAGUAUAAUCACGAAAUUAUUUUUAUACUGUUGUUCGGAGGAGGGAGCGUCGGACGAGAGAGAUGGCAACACUUUUAAGGAAUAUUAUUAAUCGAAUAAUCGAGACGAGAUCGCAAUCGGCAUCGGCAUCGAAUAAAUCGGCUAAAGUACCAAAGCAAAUACUCAAAAAUAAAAAGCAAGAUAAGAAACCCUGCAAACCGCAAGACAAAUUACAAUUAUUUCAAUUACAACUACAAUUAAUUAUAUAUAAUAUAUAGCGUUAUCUAGCAUAUAGUCAACUAUUAUUUACGUAUCGUUUAUUAUUUAUCGACGCAAGAAAUGUAAUGAAUAUUUAUGAAAUUUGCAUUAUAAGAAUGUUGAAUUAAAUUGAAUUGAAGCCCGGCAAUAAUAUUAAAUUUUAAAAAUUUUGUAUAACAAUUGUAUAGAAGGCGAAGGAAAGUAAAGCAAUAACUUAACUUAACUAACGAGUUAAUCGAUUUAUUAGUCUUAAUGAAUACUGUAAGGUUGGAACUACUUACAAUUAGCAAUCAAAGCACACAUGUAAAAACCAAAAACAAAUGAAAAACGAGAGAAGCAAUUAUAAAGUUACAAAUAUACAAUACAUAUUAAAUAACCAC